rnacentral:tRNA from 1 species
GCGGGUGUGGCGGAAUUGGCAGACGCGCUGGAUUUAGGUUCCAGUGUUUAAAUAACGUGGGGGUUCGAAUCCCUUCACCCGCA